UACGGAGGGUGCUAGCGUUGUUCGGAAUCACUGGGCGUAAAGGGCGUGUAGGCGGUCUGCUAAGUCUGAUGUGAAAUCCCCUCGCUCAACGAGGGAACUGCGUCGGAUACUGGCAUACUCGAGUACCGGAGAGGAAGGUGGAAUUCCCGGUGUAGCGGUGAAAUGCGUAGAUAUCGGGAGGAACAUCGGUGGCGAAGGCGGCCUUCUGGACGGAUACUGACGCUGAGACGCGAAAGCGUGGGGAGCAAACAGG
rnacentral:rRNA from 1 species